rfam:Brassica napus, WGS project CCCW01000000 data, contig: 15094
UAGCUAAUAGAACGGUCGGCUGUUAACUGAUUGGUCGUAGGUCCGAAUCCUACUUGGUUUA